GCGAAGGGUUUGCGGGUGAGAAAAAAAAAUCGGACGUAAUCGGAUCUCCGAGCACAAAGUUAUUGUCUUUCAAAGUUUUUCUUUCAAUAUAGACAUGGGGAGAAUAUUUUUCCAUCGUUUCUUUCUUGACGUUUACGCGCUGUAAGGCCGCGCUGGUAUCUGGGUUAAAUAGUAUUUGCUUGG
rnacentral:rRNA from 1 species